AGAACGAACGCUGGCGGCAGGCCUCAAACAUGCAAGUCUAGGGGGUGUAGCAAUACAUCACCGGCGGACGGGUGCGUAACGCGUGGGAAUGUACCUAUUGGUUCGGAACAACCCAGGGAAACUUGGGCUAAUACCGAAUGUGCCCGAAAGGGGAAAGAUUUAUCGCCAAUGGAUCAGCCCGCGUAGGAUUAGCUAGUUGGUGGGGUAAUGGCCCACCAAGGCUCCGAUCCUUAGCUGUUCUGAGAGGAAGAUCAGCCACACUGGGACUGAGACACGGCCCAGACUCCUACGGGAGGCAGCAGUUGGGAAUCUUGGACAAUGGGGGAAACCCUGAUCCAGCCAUGCCGCGUGAGUGAUGAAGGCCUUCGGGUUGUAAACUCUUUCGCGCACGACGAUAAUGACGGUAGUGCGAGAAGAAGCUCGGCUACUUCGCGCCAGCAGCCGC
rnacentral:rRNA from 1 species